AGUGAGAGGAACGUGGAAAGCUUCGGACCAAGAAAGUUGUUGAAGGCAAGUAGCUGAAGGAGUUCCCCAACGGUCAUGGCCGGUUUCAAUGACCGUGGAGACAAAAAAGAUACCUGUCCUCUACGUAGGAAGGAGGACGAUGAGGGAGCAGGAAAUUAACCUUGUGCAAUGAGCAGCGAACAACAGGGACCCAUUUAAUUACAUAUCAAAAUUAAAGUAGGCAUGUUUCUGAAAAAUCGGUAUAUAUAUAUAUAUAUAUAUAUAUAUAUAUAUUGAUUUACAUGGUUUUCCACGACACUAUAGACUCUUGUGGUUCGGCUCUUCCCUGGAUCCCGCGCAUAGCGGAAACUUAGGGCACCAGGCUGCCUUUUGUCCACGACCCCUCAUGUUUACAAACAUGCUUUAUUGAUCUUGAACUACCUAUAGCUAGCCUCUUCCCUUUCUAAAAGUUUUCCUUCCUUUUUUUCACCUGGGAUGUUCUGGAGAGUGGAAGGGAGUUAGGUAAGGGUUAAUCUUUAUAUUUGGAUUAUGAAAAAUGUUUAAGCUUUAAAUUGCAGCAUGAUUAUCAGUUCGGUAAAAACUUACUUAUCUUAUUUGGUCAUCACGAAUAAGUGAGGACUAUUCUUCAGUAA